UUAUAAAACACAGCCGGACGGAAAGAUUGUUAAUAAAUAUUGAUGCUGAACGAGAAACAAAACAGAAAGUCGUAGCGGCAAAAUGAAGAAGAACUUUUGGUGGAAAUUUGGGCCGAUAAAAUUAGCCAGCUUCGUGGGCAGAAAAAAAAAUUACAACAACUGCAUUGCAAUGAAAAGUUUUAAAAAGUAUUGUGAAAUAUUUUAAUUUUGAUGAAUUUGUGAUUUGUAAAAUGUCAUAUACCAACGUCAAAAUAAAUCUUGGAAAUGUCAAAAUAAA